rnacentral:rRNA from 1 species
AGUGAACGCUGGCGGUAGGCCUAACACAUGCAAGUCGAACGGCAGCACAGUAAGAGCUUGCUCUUACUGGUGGCCAGUGGCGGACGGGUGAGGAAUACAUCGGAAUCUACUUUUUCGUGGGGGAUAACGUAGGUAAACUUACGCUAUACCGCAUACGACCUACGGGUGAAAGCAGGGGAUCUUCGGACCUUGCGCGAGUGAAUCAGCCGAUGUCGUAUUAGCUAGUUGGCGGGGUAAAGGCCCACCAAGGCGACGAUCCGUAGCUGGUCUGGGAGGAGGAUCAGCCACACUGGAACGGGGACACGGUCCAGAGUCCUACGGGAGGCAGCAGAGGGGAAUAUUGGACAGUGGGCGCAAGCCUUAUCCAGCCAUACCGCGUCGGUGAAGAAGGCCUUCGGGUUGUAAUGACGGUUUGUUGGGAAAGAAAAGCAGCAGGCUAAUACGCAGCUGUACUGACGGUACCCAAAGAAUAAGCACCGGCUAACUUCGUG